ensembl:lncRNA
AGCUGCUGUGGCUCCAGCGGUUCAGUCUACAUCACCUUCAUAUUAAUUACUCAUUACUUACAAGCAUUCAGAAUUGCUGAUAAUCAGACCAGGACAAUACCGCCCUCGAUAUCCAGCAACACCGGGGGUCCGUUCAGUUCAGUUAUAUUAUCAGCCAGUUGUAACCAUAGUGGUUUAAUAAUGACCACCUGCAAAGAAAGUCAAGGCGCCCAAUGUAAUCCAAACCCAUCAUCUAGCAUUGAUCAUCGGGGAAAACAUAUAUUGACGCUCCUUUCUGUGAGUGACUGGAGCACUCACGUG